rnacentral:rRNA from 1 species
AUAGGUUUGGUCCCAGCCUUCCUGUUAACUUUCAAUAGACUUAUACAUGCAAGCAUCCACGCCCCGGUGAGUAACGCCCUUCGAAUCACACAGGACUAAAAGGAGCAGGUAUCAAGCACACACUCUUGUAGCUCACAACGCCUUGCUUAACCACACCCCCACGGGAGACAGCAGUAACAAAAAUUAAGCCAUAAACGAAAGUUUGACUAAGCCAUAUUGAUCAGGGUUGGUAAAUCUCGUGCCAGCCACCGCGGUCAUACGAUUGACCCAAGCUAACAGGAGUACGGCGUAAAGCGUGUUAAAGCAUCAUACUAAAUAGAGUUAAAUUUUAAUUAAACUGUAAAAAGCCAUAAUUAUAACAAAAAUAAAUGACGAAAGUAACCCUACAAUAGCUGAUACACCAUAGCUAAGACCCAAACUGGGAUUAGAUACCCCACUAUGCUUAGCCCUAAACACAAAUAAUUAU